GGAGUCUGGGCCGUAUCUCAGUCCCAAUGUGGCCGUAGAGCCUCUCAGCUCGGCUACUGAUCGUCGCCUUGGUAGGCCGUUGCCCCACCAACUAGCUAAUCAGACGCAAGCCCAUCUAUCAGCGGAUUGCUCCUUUUCUAACUAUAUCAUGCGAUACUGUUAGCUUAUGCGGUAUUAGCAAUGAUUUCUCAUUGUUAUUCCCCUCUGAUAGGCAGGUUGCUUACGUGUUACUCACCAGUCCGCCACUAACCGCUCUCAAUCUAAAAGAAUGAGUUAAGUUCGUUCGACUUGCAUGUCUUAUGUGCGCCGCCAGCGUUUAUC
rnacentral:rRNA from 1 species